rnacentral:rRNA from 2 species
GGGUUGUGAGGUUAAGCGACUAAGCGUACACGGUGGAUGCCCUGGCAGUCAGAGGCGAUGAAGGACGUGCUAAUCUGCGAAAAGCGUCGGUAAGGUGAUAUGAACCGUUAUAGCCGGCGAUGUCCGAAUGGGGAAACCCAGUGCAAUUCGUUGCACUAUCGUUAACUGAAUACAUAGGUUAACGAGGCGAACCGGGGGAACUGAAACAUCUAAGUACCCCGAGGAAAAGAAAUCAACCGAGAUUCCCCCAGUAGCGGCGAGCGAACGGGGAGCAGCCCAGAGUCUGAAUCAGCUUGUGUGUUAGUGGAACGGUCUGGAAAGUCCGACGGUACAGGGUGAUAGUCCCGUACACCAAAAUGCACAGGCUGUGAACUCGAAGAGUAGGGCGGGACACGUGGUAUCCUGUCUGAAUAUGGGGGGACCAUCCUCCAAGGCUAAAUACUCCUGACUGACCGAUAGUGAACCAGUACCGUGAGGGAAAGGCGAAAAGAACCCCGGCGAGGGGAGUGAAAAAGAACCUGAAACCGUGUACGUACAAGCAGUGGGAGCACCUUCGGGUGUGACUGCGUACCUUUUGUAUAAUGGGUCAGCGACUUAUAUUCUGUAGCAAGGUUAACCGUAUAGGGGAGCCGCAGGGAAACCGAGUCUUAACUGGGCGUUAAGUUGCAGGGUAUAGACCCGAAACCCGGUGAUCUAGCCAUGGGCAGGUUGAAGGUUGGGUAACACUAACUGGAGGACCGAACCGACUAAUGUUGAAAAAUUAGCGGAUGACUUGUGGCUGGGGGUGAAAGGCCAAUCAAACCGGGAGAUAGCUGGUUCUCCCCGAAAGCUAUUUAGGUAGCGCCUCGUGAAUUCAUCUUCGGGGGUAGAGCACUGUUUCGGCUAGGGGGUCAUCCCGACUUACCAACCCGAUGCAAACUACGAAUACCGAAGAAUGUUAUCACGGGAGACACACGGCGGGUGCUAACGUCCGUCGUGAAGAGGGAAACAACCCAGACCGCCAGCUAAGGUCCCAAAGUCAUGGUUAAGUGGGAAACGAUGUGGGAAGGCACAGACAGCCAGGAUGUUGGCUUAGAAGCAGCCAUCAUUUAAAGAAAGCGUAAUAGCUCACUGGUCGAGUCGGCCUGCGCGGAAGAUGUAACGGGGCUAAACCAUGCACCGAAGCUGCGGCAGCGACACUAUGUGUUGUUGGGUAGGGGAGCGUUCUGUAAGCCUGCGAAGGUGUGCUGUGAGGCAUGCUGGAGGUAUCAGAAGUGCGAAUGCUGACAUAAGUAACGAUAAAGCGGGUGAAAAGCCCGCUCGCCGGAAGACCAAGGGUUCCUGUCCAACGUUAAUCGGGGCAGGGUGAGUCGACCCCUAAGGCGAGGCCGAAAGGCGUAGUCGAUGGGAAACAGGUUAAUAUUCCUGUACUUGGUGUUACUGCGAAGGGGGGACGGAGAAGGCUAUGUUAGCCGGGCGACGGUUGUCCCGGUUUAAGCAUGUAGGCUGAUUGUCCAGGCAAAUCCGGAUAAUCAAGGCUGAGGUGUGAUGACGAGGCACUACGGUGCUGAAGUAACAAAUGCCCUGCUUCCAGGAAAAGCCUCUAAGCAUCAGGUAACAUUAAAUCGUACCCCAAACCGACACAGGUGGUCAGGUAGAGAAUACCAAGGCGCUUGAGAGAACUCGGGUGAAGGAACUAGGCAAAAUGGUGCCGUAACUUCGGGAGAAGGCACGCUGGUGUGUAGGUGAAGUCCCUGCGGAUGGAGCUGAGACCAGUCGAAGAUACCAGCUGGCUGCAACUGUUUAUUAAAAACACAGCACUGUGCAAACACGAAAGUGGACGUAUACGGUGUGACGCCUGCCCGGUGCCGGAAGGUUAAUUGAUGGGGUUAUCCGUAAGGAGAAGCUCUUGAUCGAAGCCCCGGUAAACGGCGGCCGUAACUAUAACGGUCCUAAGGUAGCGAAAUUCCUUGUCGGGUAAGUUCCGACCUGCACGAAUGGCGUAAUGAUGGCCAGGCUGUCUCCACCCGAGACUCAGUGAAAUUGAACUCGCUGUGAAGAUGCAGUGUACCCGCGGCAAGACGGAAAGACCCCGUGAACCUUUACUAUAGCUUGACACUGAACAUUGAGCCUUGAUGUGUAGGAUAGGUGGGAGGCUUUGAAGCGUGGACGCCAGUCUGCGUGGAGCCAACCUUGAAAUACCACCCUUUAAUGUUUGAUGUUCUAACGUUGGCCCCUUACCGGGGUUGCGGACAGUGUCUGGUGGGUAGUUUGACUGGGGCGGUCUCCUCCCAAAGCGUAACGGAGGAGCACGAAGGUUAGCUAAUCCUGGUCGGACAUCAGGAGGUUAGUGCAAUGGCAUAAGCUAGCUUGACUGCGAGCGUGACGGCGCGAGCAGGUGCGAAAGCAGGUCAUAGUGAUCCGGUGGUUCUGAAUGGAAGGGCCAUCGCUCAACGGAUAAAAGGUACUCCGGGGAUAACAGGCUGAUACCGCCCAAGAGUUCAUAUCGACGGCGGUGUUUGGCACCUCGAUGUCGGCUCAUCACAUCCUGGGGCUGAAGUAGGUCCCAAGGGUAUGGCUGUUCGCCAUUUAAAGUGGUACGCGAGCUGGGUUUAGAACGUCGUGAGACAGUUCGGUCCCUAUCUGCCGUGGGCGCUGGAGAAUUGAGGGGGGCUGCUCCUAGUACGAGAGGACCGGAGUGGACGCAUCACUGGUGUUCGGGUUGUCAUGCCAAUGGCACUGCCCGGUAGCUAAAUGCGGAAGAGAUAAGUGCUGAAAGCAUCUAAGCACGAAACUUGCCCCGAGAUGAGUUCUCCCUGAGACUUUAAGUCUCCUGAAGGAACGUUAAAGACGAUGACGUUGAUAGGCCGGGUGUGUAAGCGCAGCGAUGCGUUGAGCUAACCGGUACUAAUGAACCGUGAGGCUUAACCUUACAACGCCGAAG